UACGAAGGGGGCUAGCGUUGUUCGGAAUUACUGGGCGUAAAGCGCACGUAGGCGGACAUUUAAGUCAGGGGUGAAAUCCCAGAGCUCAACUCUGGAACUGCCUUUGAUACUGGGUGUCUUGAGUAUGGAAGAGGUGAGUGGAAUUCCGAGUGUAGAGGUGAAAUUCGUAGAUAUUCGGAGGAACACCAGUGGCGAAGGCGGCUCACUGGCCCGGUACUGACGCUGAGGCACGAAAGCGUGGGGAGCAAACAGG
rnacentral:rRNA from 1 species